UCCCUGAUAGCUCAGUUGGUAAAGAAUCUGCCUGCAAUGCAGGAGACCUUGGUUUGAUCCCUGGGUUGGGAA
rnacentral:tRNA from 1 species